UACAGAGGGUGCGAGCGUUGUCCGGAAUCACUGGGCGUAAAGGGCGCGUAGGCGGCCUGAUAAGUCGGGGGUGAAAUCCUGUGGCUCAACCACAGGGCUGCCUCCGAGACUGUCGGGCUCGAGCACAGUAGAGGCAGGUGGAAUUCCCGGUGUAGCGGAUGGAAUGCGUAGAGAUCGGGAAGAACAUCGGUGGCGAAGGCGGCCUGCUGGGCUGUUGCUGACGCUGAGGCGCGACAGCGUGGGGAGCAAACAGG
rnacentral:rRNA from 1 species